rnacentral:rRNA from 1 species
CCGCUUUUGAAACUUGUGGAUUAUUCGUAGCACGCGAGAACUUACCAGGUCUUGACAUCCUCUGACAAUCCUAGAGAUAGGACGUCCCCUUCGGGCAGAGUGACAGGUGGUGCAUGGUUGUCGUCAGCUCGUGUCGUGAGAUGUUGGGUUAAGUCCCGCAACGAGCGCAACCCUUGAUCUUAGUUGCCAGCAUUCAGUUGGGCACUCUAAGGUGACUGCCGGUGACAAACCGGAGAAAGGUGGGGAUGACGUCAAAUCAUCAUGCCCCUUAUGACCUGGGCUACACACGUGCUACAAUGGACAGAACAAAGGGCAGCGAAACCGCGAGUUUAGCCAAUCCCACAAAUCUGUUCUCAGUUCGGAUCGCAGUCUGCAACUCGACUGCGUGAAGCUGGAAUCGCUAGUAAUCGCGGAUCAGCAUGCCGCGGUGAAUACGUUCCCGGAGACAUUGUACCACCCGCCCGUA